rnacentral:tRNA from 1 species
GCGUCGGUGGCGGAGUGGACAAUCGCACCAGACUGUAAAUCUGGCGGCCUCAGGCCUACGCAGGUUCGAAUCCUGCCCGGCGCA